UCUGUCCUCCCGGUUUGGUUUGGUCAUCAAGCCACCCACUCACUUGUCUGCUCCUAUGCUGUCUGUUUACCUGCAAAUCAGUUUUUCAUUUAUCCAUCAACAGUGUUUUGGUGAUCUCAUCACUCUGCCGCUGUGUUUUUUUUCCCUGUUCCCAUGUAUCUGUCAGUCAGCCUGCAUUCUGUCAGCCACAUGUCUCCAUCUACAUAAUUUGUUUUGUCUCCCUGCCUGUCACUUUUAACAGGAGGCGAUUGACUCGGCUCUCUGCAGGGACGGCAUCCUUGCACCACUUUUGGAUGACAGGAUGACACAUUUCCAUCCAUUUCACGGCAUGAUAUUUUUAUCACACGGCUCUGUUCCCAGUGCGAUCCAUUUUUCAUUGUGCUGAGACCACAGAUGCAUUCAACAACACAAGAAGAGCUUCCUGGGGUCAAUCUCUUCUGUGAAAUUCAUGUUGGUGUGUGUGGAAGGUCACAGAGGGGAUGAGCCACAGAGGACUUCAAAUGGAGAGAUUAUUACUCCAGACAGACCUAGAGAAAGAAGUGAUGCUAAUUGUAGAGUGAGUUCACGGUCCAAACUGGGGUCAGUGUGGAGUCACGACUAAAACCGUGUGCACCAAGAUAGUUCUGUUUUAUUUAUCUCAGUCAUUGAGGAACUCAGUGCAUGUACGCAAACUUUAUCUUCACUCCCACAGUUAGCCAUAAACGGAUGUAGACACGCCCUUAAUCAUCUGUUUGUAUCAUUAAUACUCUGCUCCACCAUUCUUUAGAUGUGUUAAAAAGGACGGCAAAGAAGUAGUGCAAGUUCAAGCUGUCAUUACCUGCAACCAUUACCCAAAGCUGUGGACAGGCACUUGUAUCAUUAAUUCAACGCAUGUACUUGCAUCAGUUAUUGGCAGGGAUAUCCCAUGAUAAACAAAAAAAAAAAUGUAGUAAAUAAUAUUGUUCAGUGGUUCCCAAAGUAGAUGCCGCAGUACCCUGGGAUGCUGCAAUAUGUAUUUCUUGUUUGCUUUUUUAACUGUACAGUUUUUAAUUAAAUUUCAUCACAUGAAAAA